GAUGAACGCUGGCGGCGUGCCUAAUACAUGCAAGUCGAGCGAACGGACGAGAAGCUUGCUUCUCUGAUGUUAGCGGCGGACGGGUGAUUAACACGUGGAUAACCUACCUAUAAGACUGGGAUAACUUCGGGAAACCGGAGCUAAUACCGGAUAAUAUUUUGAACCGCAUGGUUCAAAAGUGAAAGACGGUCUUGCUGUCACUUAUAGAUGGAUCCGCGCUGCAUUAGUUAGUUGGUAAGGUAACGGCUUACCAAGGCAACGAUGCAUAGCCGACCUGAGAGGGUGAUCGGACAGACUGGAACUGAGACACGGCCCAGACUCCUACGGGAGGCAGCAGUAGGGAAUCUUCCGCAAUGGGCGAAAGCCUGACGGUGCAACGCCGCGUGAGUGAUGAAGGUCUACGGAUCGUAAAACUCUGUUAUUAGGGAAGAACAUAUGUGUAAGUAACUGUGCACAUCUUGACGGUACCUAAUCAGAAAGCCACGGCUAACUACGUG
rnacentral:rRNA from 1 species